UUAACCUUAAUGAAGGCCACCUGACAUGGGCGUCUGGUCCUGGUCUGGUUCCGCUAUUUAAAGCCCGUCCACGCUUCUAAACAGUAUAUGGUCGUUUUGUAUUUGGUAGAGUAGUAUUAUGGGUGUGGUAAGACUCUUUGUUUUCAGCGUGCUGCUCGUCGUCCUUUGUGUCGCGUCCGCUUCUCGGCGUGAGCAACAGCAGCAAAAUGACGCAGACCAGCUGCUGUCACGAACUGCCAGACAGUUGGGAGGUUAUGGGAGGCCGUGUCACAUGGAGCCACCCUUGAAUAAGUAUGAUGGUUCAGGCAUUGAAUAUCCUGAAACGAAGGGGCAUUAGCAACUGAGGACUUGACCAUUUACAGGAUGGAUUACUUUGGAGUCUCCUGUGCCAUCAACUUGCCAUUAAGCUCUACCAUAUUCAGCAACCCCCCUUUUUUUUUUUAAAGAGGAAAAAAAAAAGAAAAUUGGCCUUUGGUCUGUGGAUGAGAUCAUGGGCUCAAGUGUUGGCAGUGUAGAUGUACAGACUGAAUAAAUAUUUUUGCUCAA